UACGUAGGCAGCAAGCGUUGUUCGGAAUUACUGGGCGUAAAGAGUGUGUAGGCGGUGCUCUAAGUUCGGUGUGAAAUCUCCCGGCUUAACUGGGAGGGUGCGCCGGAAACUGGAGUGCUUGAGCCGCGGGAGAGGAAAGCGGAAUUCCUGGUGUAGCGGUGAAAUGCGUAGAUAUCAGGAGGAACACCUGUGGUGUAGACGGCUUUCUGGACCGUAGCUGACGCUGAGACACGAAAGCGUGGUAGCAAACAGG
rnacentral:rRNA from 1 species